rnacentral:rRNA from 1 species
UACAGAGGGGGCAAGCGUUAUUCGGAAUUACUGGGCGUAAAGGGCUCGUAGGCGGCCAACUAAGUCCGACGUGAAAUCCCCAGGCUUAACCUGGGAACUGCGUCGGAUACUGGAUGGCUUGAAUUCGGGAGAGGGAUGCAGAAUUCCAGGUGUAGCGGUGAAAUGCGUAGAUAUCUGGAGGAAUACCGGUGGCGAAGGCGGCAUCCUGGACCGACAUUGACGCUGAUGAGCGAAAGCUAGGGGAGCAAACAGGGG